rnacentral:rRNA from 1 species
AGAGUUUGAUCCUGGCUCAGGACGAACGCUGGCGGCGUGCUUAACACAUGCAAGUCGAACGAUGAAGCCCAGCUUGCUGGGUGGAUUAGUGGCGAACGGGUGAGUAACACAUGGGUGAUCUGCCCUGCACUCUGGGAUAAGCCUGGGAAACUGGGUCUAAUACCGGAUAUGACCUCUUGCUGCAUGGCGAGGGGUGGAAAGUUUUUCGGUGCAGGAUGAGCCCGCGGCCUAUCAGCUUGUUGGUGGGGUAAUGGCCUACCAAGGCGACGACGGGUAGCCGGCCUGAGAGGGCGACCGGCCACACUGGGACUGAGACACGGCCCAGACUCCUACGGGAGGCAGCAGUGGGGAAUAUUGCACAAUGGGCGAAAGCCUGAUGCAGCGACGCCGCGUGAGGGAUGACGGCCUUCGGGUUGUAAACCUCUUUCAGCAGGGACGAAGCGAAAGUGACGGUACCUGCAGAAGAAGCACCGGCCAACUACGUGCCAGCAGCCGCGGUAAUACGUAGGGUGCGAGCGUUGUCCGGAAUUACUGGGCGUAAAGAGCUCGUAGGCGGUUUGUCGCGUCGUCUGUGAAAUCCCGCAGCUCAACUGCGGGCUUGCAGGCGAUACGGGCAGACUCGAGUACUGCAGGGGAGACUGGAAUUCCUGGUGUAGCGGUGAAAUGCGCAGAUAUCAGGAGGAACACCGGUGGCGAAGGCGGGUCUCUGGGCAGUAACUGACGCUGAGGAGCGAAAGCGUGGGUAGCGAACAGGAUUAGAUACCCUGGUAGUC